UACCAGUGCUUAGCUCUAGUAAGUCAUUUUAACGGAGCACAGCAAGCACUAAAAUUCUUCUGGGUCCCUCUCGUUGAUUAUGUCAGCUAACCUUUAGAAUGUCUUUCCUGGAUCAGAUGAAGCUGCGGGGUCUGAUAGAUGUUGGUCUCAUAUUGAUCCUGGCCUCUUAUUCAAAAGGUCAUAGCUGGAAUGUCAGUGUCCCUAACAACGUUUAUGGAAAAUUGGGCUCAGCCGUGACCAUAAAUUGUACAUUUACCUAUCCGGAAAACCAGCACACUGAUAAUGUUCAAGUUUACUGGAAAACGCCUCGGAAAAGUAACAUUACAGUCAGUGAUAAGGACAAAAAUUCAUUUGUUUUUCACACAAAUGAGGAACUUGUGCUUCAGGAGUACAGGGGAAAGACUCGGCUCAUUGGAAAUAAAACUCAGGGAGACUGCUCCCUUGAGAUCGUCAACAUCAUGCAAAAUAGUCUACUAAUCUAUAUGAGAG